UGGGGUGUGGCUCAGUGAUAGAGCUCUUGACUAACAUGUAUGAGGCACUGGGUUCAAUUCUCAUCACCUCAU
rnacentral:tRNA from 1 species